rnacentral:rRNA from 1 species
AGGUUUCCGUAGGUGAACCUGCGGAAGGAUCAUUACAGAGUUCAUGCCCCCACGGGUAGAUCUCCCACCCAUGAAUAACAUACCUUUGUUGCUUUGGCAGGCCGCACUCGUGCCAGAGGCUUCGGCUUCCGAGUGCCUGCCAGAGGACCACAACUCUUGUUUUUUAGUGAUGUCUGAGUACUAUAUAAUAGUUAAAACUUUCAACAACGGAUCUCUUGGUUCUGGCAUCGAUGAAGAACGCAGCGAAAUGCGAUAAGUAAUGUGAAUUGCAGAAUUCAGUGAAUCAUCGAAUCUUUGAACGCACAUUGCGCCCUUUGGUAUUCCGAAGGGCAUGCCUGUUCGAGCGUCAUUAUAACCACUCAAGCUUGUGCUUGGUAUUGGGGUUCGCGAUCAGCGGCUCCUAAAGUCAGUGGCGGUGCUUAUAAGAGCUCUACGCGUAGUAAAUCUCUCGCGAUGGAACCUUAUGGAGUUGCUUGCCAAAACCCAAAUUUUUAUCAGGUUGACCUCGGAUCAGGUAGGGAUACCCGCUGAACUUAAGCAUAUCAAUAAGCGGAGGAA